UCAACAUGGUUGAUAUUGCAAAAGCUUUGGCAAGGCCAGCCUCUUACACAACCAAGUAUUUUGGCUGUGAACUUGGAGCACAGUCAAAAUUCGAUGAGAAAACUGGGACUUCUCAUGUCAACGGAGCACAUGAUACUGCGAAACUUGCUGGCCUUCUUGAGAACUUCAUCAAGAAAUACGUCCAGUGUUAUGGUUGUGGAAAUCCUGAAACUGAGAUCAUAAUUACCAAGACUCAAAUGAUCCAGAUGAAAUGUGCUGCUUGUGGUUUUGUGUCUGACGUGGAUAUGAGAGACAAGCUGACUACCUUCAUCAUUAAGAACCCACCAGAGAGUAAGAAGGGCGGCAAGGACAAGAAGGCCAUGAGGAGAGCUGAGAAGGAGAGACUGAAGGAAGGUGAAGCAGCUGAUGAGGAGCUGAAAAAGCUGAAGAAAGAGGCUGUCAAGAAGAAGGGAGC
rnacentral:lncRNA from 1 species